UAAUACAGAGGGGGCGAGCGUUGUUCGGAAUUACUGGGCGUAAAGGGCGCGUAGGUGGCCUGUUAAGUCGAACGUGAAAUCCCCGGGCUCAACCCGGGAACUGCGUCCGAGACUGGCAGGCUUGAAUCCGGGAGAGGGAUGUGGAAUUCCAGGUGUAGCGGUGAAAUGCGUAGAUAUCUGGAGGAACACCGGUGGCGAAGGCGGCAUCCUGGACCGGUAUUGACGCUGAGGCGCGAAAGCCAGGGGAGCAAACGGGAUUAGAUACCCCGGUAGUCCUGGCCCUAAACGAUGAAUGCUUGGUGUGGCGGGUAUCGAUCCCUGCCGUGCCGAAGCUAACGCAUUAAGCAUUCCGCCUGGGGAGUACGGUCGCAAGGCU
rnacentral:rRNA from 1 species